CAGCAACGGAUCUCUUGGCUCUCGCAUCGAUGAAGAACGCAGCGAAUUGCGAUAAGUAAUGUGAAUUGCAGAUUUUCAGUGAAUCAUCGAAUCUUUGAACGCACCUUGCGCUCCUUGGUAUUCCGAGGAGCAUGCCUGUUUGAGUGUCAUU
rnacentral:rRNA from 4 species